CGGAGGGUGCAAGCGUUAUCCGGAUUCACUGGGUUUAAAGGGUGCGUAGGUGGAUUAGUAAGUCAGUGGUGAAAUCUCUGGGCUUAACUCAGAAACUGCCAUUGAUACUAUUAAUCUUGAAUACCGUGGAGGUCAGCGGAAUAUGUCAUGUAGCGGUGAAAUGCUUAGAUAUGACAUAGAACACCAAUUGCGAAGGCAGCUGGCUACACGAAUAUUGACACUGAGGCACGAAAGCGUGAGGAUCAAACAGGAUUAGAUACCCUGGUAGUUCACGCCCUAAACGAUGGAUACUCGACAUUUGCGAUAAACUGCAAGUGUCUGAGCGAAAGCAUUAAGUAUCCCACUGGGAAGUACGAUCGCAAGAUUG
rnacentral:rRNA from 1 species